GUUAAUGUAGCUUAAUACAAAGCAAAGCACUGAAAAUGCUUAGAUGGGUCCCCUGACCCCAUGAACA
rnacentral:tRNA from 1 species